CCUGGCUCAGAUUGAACGCUGGCGGCAUGCCUUACACAUGCAAGUCGAACGGCAGCGGGGACUUCGGUCCGCCGGCGAGUGGCGAACGGGUGAGUAAUGUAUCGGAACGUACCUUUCAGUGGGGGAUAACGUAGCGAAAGUUACGCUAAUACCGCAUAUUCUGUGAGCAGGAAAGCAGGGGAUCGCAAGACCUUGCGCUGAUUGAGCGGCCGAUAUCAGAUUAGCUAGUUGGUGAGGUAAAGGCUCACCAAGGCGACGAUCUGUAGCGGGUCUGAGAGGAUGAUCCGCCACACUGGAACUGAGACACGGUCCAGACUCCUACGGGAGGCAGCAGUGGGGAAUUUUGGACAAUGGGCGCAAGCCUGAUCCAGCCAUGCCGCGUGAGUGAAGAAGGCCUUCGGGUUGUAAAGCUCUUUCGGCCGGGAAGAAAUCGCACGGGUUAAUACCCUGUGUGGAUGACGGUACCGGAAUAAGAAGCACCGGCUAACUACGUG
rnacentral:rRNA from 1 species